AGCUCGAAUCACUGGCCGUUCGUACCCCAGCUUUACCUCAUCAGAGUAAUCCGUUCAUCC
rnacentral:tRNA from 1 species